UGAACGCUGGCGGCGUGCCUAAUACAUGCAAGUCGAGCGAACGGACGAGAAGCUUGCUUUUCUGAUGUUAGCGGCGGACGGGUGAGUAACACGUGGAUAACCUACCUAUAAGACUGGGAUAACUUCGGGAAACCGGAGCUAAUACCGGAUAAUAUUUUGAACCGCAUGGUUCAAAAGUGAAAGACGGUCUUGCUGUCACUUAUAGAUGGAUCCGCGCUGCAUUAGCUAGUUGGUAAGGUAACGGCUUACCAAGGCAACGAUGCAUAGCCGACCUGAGAGGGUGAUCGGCCACACUGGAACUGAGACACGGUCCAGACGCCUACGGGAGGCAGCAGUAGGGAAUCUUCCGCAAUGGGCGAAAGCCUGACGGAGCAACGCCGCGUGAGUGAUGAAGGUCUUCGGAUCGUAAAACUCUGUUAUUAGGGAAGAACAUAUGUGUAAGUAACUGUGCACAUCUUGACGGUACCUAAUCAGAAAGCCACGGCUAACUACGUG
rnacentral:rRNA from 1 species